rnacentral:tRNA from 1 species
GGCCUCGUAGCUCAGUUGGCUAGAGCGUUGGCUCUGCUAAAGCCUUCCCGUUGUUGGCAUCGGUUCGAAUCCCACCAAGGCCG